rnacentral:rRNA from 1 species
UACGUAGGGUGCAAGCGUUGUCCGGAAUUAUUGGGCGUAAAGAGCUCGUAGGCGGUGUGUCGCGUCGGCCGUGAAACCUGCAGCUUAACUGUGGGCUUGCGGUCGAUACGGGCAUCACUGGAGUUCGGCAGGGGAGACUGGAAUUCCUGGUGUAGCGGUGAAAUGCGCAGAUAUCAGGAGGAACACCGGUGGCGAAGGCGGGUCUCCUGGGCCGAUACUGACGCUGAGGCACGAAAGCGUGGGGAGCAAACAGG